UGCAAGUCGAACGAUGAAGCAGAGCUUGCUCUGUGGAUUAGUGGCGAACGGGUGAGUAACACGUGAGUAACCUGCCCUUGACUCUGGGAUAAGCGUUGGAAACGACGUCUAAUACCGGAUACGACCUUCGGAGGCAUCUCCUGGGGGUGGAAAGAAUUUCGGUCAAGGAUGGACUCGCGGCCUAUCAGGUAGUUGGUGAGGUAAAGGCUCACCAAGCCGACGACGGGUAGCCGGCCUGAGAGGGUGACCGGCCACACUGGGACUGAGACACGGCCCAGACUCCUACGGGAGGCAGCAGUGGGGAAUAUUGCACAAUGGGCGAAAGCCUGAUGCAGCAACGCCGCGUGAGGGACGAAGGCCUUCGGGUUGUAAACCUCUUUUAGUAGGGAAGAAGCGAAAGUGACGGUACCUGCAGAAAAAGCACCGGCUAACUACGUGCCAGCAGCCGCGGUAAUACGUAGGGUGCAAGCGUUGUCCGGAAUUAUUGGGCGUAAAGAGCUCGUAGGCGGUUUGUCGCGUCUGCUGUGAAAACUGGAGGCUCAACCUCCAGCCUGCAGUGGGUACGGGCAGACUAGAGUGCGGUAGGGGAGAUUGGAAUUCCUGGUGUAGCGGUGGAAUGCGCAGAUAUCAGGAGGAACACCGAUGGCGAAGGCAGAUCUCUGGGCCGCUACUGACGCUGAGGAGCGAAAGCAUGGGGAGCGAACAGGAUUAGAUACCCUGGUAGUCCAUGCCGUAAACGUUGGGAACUAGAUGUGGGGACCAUUCCACGGUCUCCGUGUCGCAGCUAACGCAUUAAGUUCCCCGCCUGGGGAGUACGGCCGCAAGGCUAAAACUCAAAGGAAUUGACGGGGGCCCGCACAAGCGGCGGAGCAUGCGGAUUAAUUCGAUGCAACGCGAAGAACCUUACCAAGGCUUGACAUAUACGAGAACGCUGCAGAAAUGUAGAACUCUUUGGACACUCGUAAACAGGUGGUGCAUGGUUGUCGUCAGCUCGUGUCGUGAGAUGUUGGGUUAAGUCCCGCAACGAGCGCAACCCUCGUCCUAUGUUGCCAGCACGUAAUGGUGGGAACUCAUGGGAUACUGCCGGGGUCAACUCGGAGGAAGGUGGGGAUGACGUCAAAUCAUCAUGCCCCUUAUGUCUUGGGCUUCACGCAUGCUACAAUGGCCGGUACAAUGGGCUGCAAUACCGUAAGGUGGAGCGAAUCCCAAAAAGCCGGUCUCAGUUCGGAUUGAGGUCUGCAACUCGACCUCAUGAAGUCGGAGUCGCUAGUAAUCGCAGAUCAGCAACGCUGCGGUGAAUACGUUCCCGGGCCUUGUACACACCGCCCGUCAAGUCAUGAAAGUCGGUAACACCCAACGCCGGUGGCCUAACCCGUAAGGGAGGGAGCUUCU
rnacentral:rRNA from 1 species